GACUGCUUGGCGCAAUGGUAGCGCGCGGUCCUCCUAUUAUCCUGUGAUUAUGGGAGUGAAAGACUGAGGUUGCGGGUUCGAGUCCCGUGGUGGUCG
rnacentral:tRNA from 1 species